GACGAACGCUGGCGGCGUGCUUAACACAUGCAAGUCGAACGGAAAGGCCCUGCUUUUGUGGGGUGCUCGAGUGGCGAACGGGUGAGUAACACGUGAGUAACCUGCCCUUGACUUUGGGAUAACUUCAGGAAACUGGGGCUAAUACCGGAUAGGAGCCCCUGCUGCAUGUUGGGGGUUGGAAAGUUUCGGCGGUUGGGGAUGGACUCGCGGCUUAUCAGCUUGUUGGUGGGGUAGUGGCUUACCAAGGCUUUGACGGGUAGCCGGCCUGAGAGGGUGACCGGCCACAUUGGGACUGAGAUACGGCCCAGACUCCUACGGGAGGCAGCAGUGGGGAAUAUUGCACAAUGGGCGGAAGCCUGAUGCAGCAACGCCGCGUGCGGGAUGACGGCCUUCGGGUUGUAAACCGCUUUCGCCUGUGACGAAGCGUGAGUGACGGUAAUGGGUAAAGAAGCACCGGCUAACUACGUG
rnacentral:rRNA from 1 species